UAUCUUUACCUACUGCAUUUCCUAUGUUUUCUUUAGCUUGGCGACACUUCUGUGUUUUAAUUAGCCACAUUUAACAUUUGAGAGAGCUAGAAAACUAUAAUAAAACUCAUUUGUUGUUCUGUGCGCGAGGUGUGAAAUAUGAUCUUGCUCCGGUUCGGAUUUAUGGCGGGAGAAAGUGCCCAUUCUAGGGUAGCCUUGGUGGGGGGUGUUUUAUUUGUCGUAAAUAUCGCCAAACAGUAUUGCUCUUUGUAUUCUUAUUUAUUUGAUCAUAAAAGCACAUUUAUUUAUAAAAUAAGCUACUUCAUGUUACGAAAUGAGUUCUAUGAUAUUUUGUGAUGUCCUUGCAUUUUGAUUAUGUUCGUAUUUUCCUAGAAACUUCUAUCAAAAUUUGAAAAACAUUGAACGUGAACUUGUUCCCUCGUCUGCCAAUGGAUCACCAAUCGCAGAAUUGGUUCGUUCUGCCUCGUUCAUGUGGCUGUCAUUUCUUGGUCGAUGUACCCUAAUGCGAUAGUCAGAUUUCCACAUACUUGCCAUUUCGGCAUCCUGAAAUCAAACUUCGAAGUUUGAUACUCCCACACCAGCUCCAGCGUCACUAAAGUCAGCCCAAAGAGAAUGAUUUACGUCACUCGCACCUUAUAUUAUCAAGAUGUAGAGAAGAGUAGAAGUGUCAAGGAGAAUGCUCACAUAAAUUGAAGAAAAAAAGAAAAUAAGAGAAAAAACAGAAGACAGUCAGAACAAAGGCUACACAGUAGAUCCAAAGAAAUAAUCACCAGUCUUGU